rnacentral:rRNA from 1 species
AUACGUAGGUGACAAGCGUUAUCCGGAUUUACUGGGUGUAAAGGGCGUGUAGGCGGUUUAGCAAGUCAGAAGUGAAAUUCCCGGGCUUAAAUUGGGCGCUGCUUCUGAAACUGCUUUACUUGAGUGCUGGAGAGGAUAGUGGAAUUCCUAGUGUAGCGGUAAAAUGCGCAGAUAUUAGGAGGAACACCGGUGGCGAAGGCGGCUAUCUGGACAGUAACUGACGCUGAGGCGCGAAAGCACGGGGAGCAAACAGGAUUAGAUACCCUGGUAGUCCGUGCCGUAAACGAUGAAUACUAGGUGUAGGGGGUAUCGACUCCCUCUGUGCCGCAGUUAACACAUUAAGUAUUCCGCCUGGGGAGUACGGCCGCAAGGUUGAAACUCAAAUGAAUUGACGGGG